rnacentral:lncRNA from 1 species
UUUUUUUUUUUUUUUUUAACUGUUGGCUGUAUCUGUGGUAGAUAGAGCUAUGAGAAUGGUCAUAGGCCUAUUUUACCCAUCACUAUUUCCAUCACCAGCACAGUUCCCUGCUAAUGCACGUAAAAGCUGCAACAAAGAUUUUUUGACCAAAUUAAUGAAUCGGUAAGUGGAAAGCUCCCAAGAUUCAAUAUUCUAAUACUUAGUAUACAUUGAGCCCUAACUAUAUGCUUAGUGCUUGACAUGGAUUAUCUGAUCUAAUCAUGAGUGUCUAUAAGGCAUUUCUUGUUACUGUUUUAUAGAUGAAAAGCUGAAGCUUGAAGAGAUGAAAUUAGACUAAUACUGUAUCAUUAGUCAAUGGGAGAGCCAAGACUAGAACCCUUAGAUUACCCACACUAGACUCUAUAGUUCAGUUAGCCCAUUUGAACUGGUACAAGUCUAUGUACAUGGAGUUAUAAUGUAAAAGGGCUUGGAUUAGGUAACUAAUACCUAGUUAGUCAAAAUCAAGAACAACUGCUGGAGGUGGGAAUGAGGUAAGGAAUGAGAGGAGCAAUUUUCCUGUAUCCUUGUAAAACAGUCUAUUACUGAGUUCAGGAAAUACUUCCUGGGAAACUACUACUGUGUGCCCAACCUUAUGGAUGAUACAAAGAAAGACCCAUAUCCUGCCUGCCUGAUCAGAACUUUUAAUUCUUGUGUGAACACAAGUAAUUAUGUAAAACAGAAAGUGCUAACUGUAUUAGGGCUACAAAGUGUGGGGAAUAGCGUUGCCAGAUUGAGCAAAUAAAAAUGUGGACAUCCAGUUAGGACCUUGCUCUGUCGCUCAAGCUGGAGUGUGGUGGUGCAAUCACGGCUCACUGCAACCUUAACCUGGGCUCAAGCCAUCCUCCCACCUCAGCCUCCCAAGUAGCUGGGACCACAGGUGUAUGUGACCAUGCCUGGUUCAAUUUUAUAUUUUUUGUAGAGACGAGAUUUCGCUGUGUUGCCCAGGCUGGUCUUGAACUCCUGAGCUCAAGUAAUCUGCCUGCCUGAGAUUCCCAAAUUGCUGGGAUUAUAGGCAUGAGCCACCAUGCCUGGCCCAUCCAGUUAAAUUGGAAAGACAUACACCAAAAAUCAUUUGUUGUUUAUCUGAAAUUCAACUUUAGGUGUCUUGUAUUUAUCUGGCAACUCUAGAAGUGUUAAAAUUCCAGCUACAACAUUACAUUUAGAGAGUGUGAAAAGCGUAUUAAAGGGUUGAAAUAACAAGUAGUGGGUGUAUUUAGGAGAAUGCUAGGAAAUAAAGGUCAGAAAAGUAAGUGAAGGUCGGGCGAGGUGGCUGACACCUGUAAUCCCAACACUUUGGGGGGCUGAGGCAGGCAGAUCGCCUGAGGUCAGGAGUUUGAGACCA